AGCGGAUAACCUGCAGCUGCUAACGGCUCGGCCCAAACGCGUACGAGGGAUGUUGGCUGCUCGAACACAAAAGUGUCUGUACGUUUGUGACAACAAAAGUGAGACGAUAAACCUCAAGAUCGUGUGCUGUUGUUAGGUAUCCGGUCAUCACGAGAAGGCGAAGCCCUGGUGGAGACCGAUGUACGGAGAUGCAUCAGCUGACAUUCGAUUAGUAUGUUGCCUGCUCAAAUCUCAGCGACAAGACUAAAUCAAUGUAACAAGACUGUCUGACGUACAUCAGUGUUUAAUAUUAUCAGUCGGGAAUAAAUGUGCAUCAGUGUGUUAGAAUUUCCUCGAGUAUUAGUCUCUUAACCCUUUGAAGACGAAGAUCGU